rnacentral:rRNA from 1 species
UACGGGGGGAGCAAGCGUUGUUCGGAUUUACUGGGCGUAAAGGGCGCGUAGGCGGCCACGACAAGUCACUUGUGAAAUCUCCGGGCUUAACUCGGAAAGGUCAAGUGAUACUGUCGGGCUAGAGUACAGAAGGGGCAACUGGAAUUCUCGGUGUAGCGGUGAAAUGCGUAGAUAUCGGAAGGAACACCAGUGGCGAAAGCGGCUUCCUGGUCCAGCACCGACGUUCAGGCACGAAAGCGUGGGGAGCAAACAGG